ACAGCUUGGACAAAAGUCUAUAGCCAGUGCAUUCCUAGCUCCCUUUACACAGAGACAGACACAGUCAGAGAGAAGACACGCUGGGUCUCGGCUCGGCUCUCCUCUGCGAGCAGGUGUAACGCUGGAUAUCUAUUGGUCUUGGGCCUGCAGGAAAAGGCAGACAG
ensembl:misc_RNA